AGAUUCAACAUAACCCAAAGUUUAGCCCUUUCUUCCAGGAUUGCAUUGGUGCUAUUGAUGGUACUCAUAUUAGCGCCAUAGUACCCAGAUCAGAGCAAACCCGAUACAGAAAUCGGAAAGCAUUGAUCACACAAAAUGUUAUGUGUGCCUGUUCGUUCGACAUGCGUUUUACAUUUGUGUACGCGGGUUGGGAAGGUAGUGCACAUGAUGCUCGGGUUUUUGAAGAGGCGAGAUCAAAUGCUACCUUAGGUUUUCCUCAUCCUCCUCCAGUAGCGCAUGGAAGCAGUACUAGACAAGUUGCAAAGAAAUUUCAACGAUCUGGAUAGACAAUUAGUGUUGUAUUUCAAAAAGUGUUGCACGCUAUGGUUCAACUAGCGAAUGAAACAAUCAGACCACCUAAUUUUGAUG